AUAGGAGUGUCAGAAGUUUAUGAGGUAAUUUUAAGCGGUAUUUAUAGGUUAAAUCCUCUCCUAUU
rnacentral:tRNA from 1 species